GAUGAACGCUGGCGGCGUGCCUAAUACAUGCAAGUCGAGCGAACAGAUAAGGAGCUUGCUCCUUUGACGUUAGCGGCGGACGGGUGAGUAACACGUGGGUAACCUACCUAUAAGACUGGGAUAACUUCGGGAAACCGGAGCUAAUACCGGAUAAUAUAUUGAACCGCAUGGUUCGAUAGUGAAAGACGGUUUUGCUAUCACUUAUAGAUGGACCCGCGCCGUAUUAGCUAGUUGGUAAGGUAACGGCUUACCAAGGCAACGAUGCGUAGCCGACCUGAGAGGGUGAUCGGCCACACUGGAACUGAGACACGGUCCAGACUCCUACGGGAGGCAGCAGUAGGGAAUCUUCCGCAAUGGGCGAAAGCCUGACGGAGCAACGCCGCGUGAGUGAUGAAGGUCUUCGGAUCGUAAAACUCUGUUAUUAGGGAAGAACAAAUGUGUAAGUAACUGUGCACGUCUUGACGGUACCUAAUCAGAAAGCCACGGCUAACUACGUG
rnacentral:rRNA from 1 species